CCCUUAGAUGUCCUGGGCUGCACGCGCGCUACACUGAUGUGUCCAGUAAGCACCUAACCUCUUCCGAAAGGAACGGGUAACCUUUGCAAAGCACAUCGUGAUGGGGAUAGAUUAUUGCAAUUAUUAGUCUUGAACGAGGAAUUCCUAGUAAGCACAAGUCAUCAGCUUGUGUUGAUUACGUCCCUGCCCUUUGUACACACCGCCCGUCGCACCUACCGACUGGAUGGUCCGGUGAAGCCUCGGGAUUGUGGUUCUUGCCGCUUUAUUGUGGCGUGACCGCGAGAACUUGUCUAAACCUUAUCAUCUAGAGGAAGGUGAAGUCGUAACA
rnacentral:rRNA from 1 species